GCCAGCAUAGUGUAGUGGUUUGAACAUUGGACUGUAACUGUGGAGACUAGGGUUUGAUUCCCUGCUCAGCCA